AAAGUUUGGGAUUCCCAGUCUACAAAACCCCACAGCUCCUAGGAAUUCUCUCACCACCCUUGUGCCUUUAGGCUUCGGUAGAUUGCAAAUGACCUGCUUUCUUUCGGAUCCCGGGCUGCUUUCGGACACCUGUCGAAUAGUAAAUCCCAAGUAAGGUACCUGCGGUCGUCGGCAGAUCUGAAUUUUCUUCUUGGACACCUAAUACCCACAGUCCUCCAGAGACCGAGAGGUUGAUGUCACUCCCAAUAUCGGAGGAAGUAUACACCCCCGUGUGAGAUGGUCCUUAAUAAUAUUCCACGGCGGAGGGGGUGAUAUGACUACAUACAUGGCAGAAAGUGGAAACCUCCCAGGGAUAUUGUUCCCACGAUCCUGGAGGGAAGAAGAUGAUGUUACUUUCAAUAUGACAGAAGGUGGAUGAAGUGGUGGACUGCCCCUCCACACCUGUGGACACGCCCCCACUGAUAUUCCUUCUAAUUGCAGCGUGGGAGAGGAGGAUAUGACACGCGAUAUCGCAGGGAGUAGAAACACCCCUGUGAUACUGUUCUUAAUAUUCAGGGAGGAAGAGGAUGAUAUUACUCCCAAUACAGACGGGUGUACACCCUCUGUACACCGAGGGUGUACACCUGUCUGUGAAAGAGUUCGUAAUCUCCAGAGGGGGAGAUGAUAUUACUCACAAUAUGGUAAAGAGGCUGUGAGUCCACGGAGGAUCCUCAGAGCCAGCGGGGGAAGAGGGGCUGGCUCUCAGUCCCCGCCUCGCGGGGGUGACUCCCCCCAGUGCGAUGGGGGUCCUAAGAGCCAGUGGGGGAAGAGGGGCUGGCUCUGAGACCCCGCCUCGCGGGGGGUGCCUCCCCGCCCUGUGAUGGGGGUCCGAAGAGCCAGAAGGCUUAGAGGGGCUGGCUCUCAGUCCCCGCCUCGCGGGGGGUGCCUCCUCCCCCUGCGAUGGGGGUCGUAAGAGCCACUGGGGGAAUAGGGGCUUGCUCUCAGUCACCGCCUCGCGGGGGGUGCCUCCUUUCCUUUCUACAUAGACACAGUGACAGUCUGAUCUCUCUUUCUUUUCCCUACAGAUGGACACGCCCCCACUGAUAUUGUUUUUAAUGCAGCGUGGGAGGGGAGGAUAUGACACGCGAUAUCGCAGGUAGUAGAAACACCCCUUUGAUAGUGUUCUUAAUAUUCAGGGAGGAAGAAGAUGAUGUUACUCCCAAUACAGACGGAUGUACACCCUCUGUACACCGAGGGUGUACACCCGUCUGUGAAGGAGUUCGUAAUCUCCAGAGGUGGAGAUGAUAUUACUCACAAUAUGGUAAACAGGCUGUGAGUCCAUCGCGGAUCCUCAGAGCCAGGUGGGGAAGAGGGGCUGGCUGUCAGUCCCCUCCUCGCGGGGGGUGCCUCCCCCACUGCUAUGGGGAUCCCAAGAGCCAGUGGGGGAAGAGGUGCUGGCUCUCAGUCUCCGCCUCGCGAGGUGCCUCCCCACCCUGCGAUCGGGGUCCGAAGAGCCAGGGGGGAAGAGGGGCUGGCUCUCUUCGUGGAUGAUUCUUUUUCCAUUCUCAGGCAGUUUUCUUUUUUCUUUCUUUCUUUUUUUUUUUUUUUGAGACUGAGUCUUGCUCUGUUGCCCAUGCUUUGCUCGAUCUCGGGUGACUGCAACCACUGCCUCCCAGGUUCAAGAGAUUCUCCUGCCUCAGCCUCCUGAGUAGCUGGGACUAGAGGCGUGUGUCACCACACCCAGCUAAUUUUUGUAUUUUUAGUAGAGAUGGGGUUUCACCAUGUUUGCCAGGAUGGUCUCUAUCUCCUGCCCUUGUGAUCCACCCACCUCAGCCUCCCAAAGUGCUGGGAUUGCAGGUGCGAGCCACCGGGUCCAGCCUCUCAGGCGAUUUUCAUACCUGCAUACUCUGGUCACUACUCUGUUAAACAGUCAAGGAGGGUAAGUAUUAUCUUCAGAUUUCCAGAGCUCUGUCUCUGUACAGCCCUCUCCUCCUCAAUAUUCUGCCCUAUGAAUUCUAGCCACAUUGGCCUUCCCAGGCUCACAGUUCUGUCUUCUCAACUCAGGAAGAUCUCUGAGUUCCAUCUGCAUUCUUUCUUCCUGUGCUGUGGCCUGGAAAGUUUUCUAAGGUGUUAGGGAGGUCAAUUGUGGGGCUAGCCUCAUUUGUUUCUCAUCUCUUGAGGAUCACUGCCCUUUGAUGCUUGAUUCCAGUGAUUGAUUCCCUUUGUUGCUUGAGGGCCAUAGUUUCAUAUAUUUUGUCCAGUAGUUUUGUUGUUUUAGGUCAGAAAGUAAUUUUGGUCUCUGUUACUCUAUCUUGGCCAGAAGUGUAAGACCUAAGCAUUUACACAUCAAAAUACUGCACACAUAAUUUUAGUUUAAGCUACUUUUUAAAAAAUCUCCUUCAUUUUCCAUUUAGCAUUCUAUUUAGGGUAUUACAUUGGUUUUUUUGAAAUUCUGUUAUUGGCAGUUUCUAUUGCCUAUCAAUCCCAUUUAAAGAUAGUGCAUAGGGUAUUCUAAAAUAGCUGUUAAGCAAAGAGAAAAUUGGGCCUGAUAGGGUGAGAAUCACAGCUCUAAUACCUAGAGUGACCUUAUAAUGUAUUGUCCAAAGGAGAUAUUUUUGACAGUGAAAGAGGGUGUUGUUAGUAAUUAUAUCAGGACCAUGGCCUAAACCAGGACUAUCCCAGGAAGCCUGGGACAUAUUUGUACCCCAUCUCUAUUUAAUGCCUUUAUACAAUUCUUUACUUAAUUCUACCAGCCUUUAUUGAGCCUGCUUUCUUUGUCUAGCUGAGUGCCACGUGCUGACGUCACUAAGAUCAAUACAGCAAACUCUGAAAGAUGGACAGAGAGACAGGAGAUGGUCCUUUAUAAUGCAGUGUGAUCUGUGCUGCAAUAGAGAUGGAAGAGUGUUCUGAUCGGCUGGAAAACAACGCACAUGGGAAGCUGUACAGAAAUGAGUGGGGAAAGUUUUGGAAGCUAGAAGUUCAAAACGAGGUGUUGGCAGCACCAUGCUCUCUCUGAAGAUGCUAGGAAGAAUCUGCUCCAUGCCUUUCCAUUCGCUUCUGGGGUUUCCUGCAAGCCCUGACAUUCCUUGGCUUGUAGAUGCAUCACCCCAGUUUCCGCCCCCAUCAUCACAUGGCCUCCUCUCUGUGUGUGCCUCUGCGUUCCCUCUAUUCUUCUUCUAAGGACACCGACACCAGUCAUAGUGGAUUAAGUGUCCACUCCUAACCAAUUACAUCUGCAACAACCCUAUUUCCAAAUAAAGUCACAUUCUAAG
rnacentral:lncRNA from 1 species